AUAGGGGAGGAUGAGGAGAUCUUGUACUGUUAUUCCCCCUGUGGCUUGUUCCCGGCCCCACUUCCAAGAAACGCUAAAGCAGCGGCCAUUAAUAAAGUCAAAGCCAAGUUCAAGUUUUUGGGGAAGUUCAUGGCCAAAGCUUUAAUGGACUCCAGAAUGCUGGACAUCCCCCUGAGUUUGGUGUUCUACAAAUGGCUGCUGGGACAGGAACAUAGCCUGACCUCCAGUGACCUUCAGCAUCUGGACCCAGUGGUGGCGAAAUCAUUCCAACAACUAGAGGACGUCUUACACCAAAAACAGAGGAUUCUCACGGACAAAUCACAUACGGACGAGAGUCAACAGUUGGCUCUGGAGAGUUUGACCAUGGAUGGUUGUAGUAUAGAAGAUCUGGACAUUAACUUCACUCUGCCUGGCUACUCCAACAUAGAGCUGAAGAAGGGGGGUCAGGAUAUCACGGUCACACUGGAUAAUCUGGAGGAGUACUUACAGCUGGUGGUCCACUGGAGUCAGGUCGAGGGCGUGUCUCGACAGUUUGAGGCCUUCAGGGAGGGGUUCGAAGAGAUCUUCACUCUUUCCACACUGCAGAGCUUCUAUCCAGAGGAGUUGGAACAGCUGUUUUGUGGCAACAAGAAGGAAAUGUGGGACGUUAAGAUGUUAAUGGAAUGCUGUCGACCCGACCACGGUUAUACACACGACAGCCGGGCUGUCAACUUCCUGUUUGAGGUUCUGAGUUGUUAUGAUGACGUGGAACAGAGACAGUUCUUGCAGUUUGUUACUGGGUCUCCACGCUUACCUGUUGGAGGCUUCAGAAGUUUGAAUCCUCCAUUGACCAUCGUUAGAAAAUCAUUUGAAGGAACAGAAAAUCCUGACAAUUUCCUACCAUCCGUGAUGACAUGUGUUAACUAUCUGAAACUGCCUGAUUAUAGCACAAUAGACAUCAUGCGAGAAAAGUUAACAGUUGCUGCAAAAGAGGGACAACUUUCUUUCCAUUUAUCAUAGAAAAUGAUUGGAUUUGUAAUUGUUACGUUAUUCAAAGUGUUGGAACUUGGAAAGAAAGAAGGAGGGGGUUGUUAGCUAGAUAUUAUGCUUAAUGUGUCUGUUGCAUAUAAUGUCUUUGCAAAAUUAUGACCUUCAUGUCUGGAAUUGGCGUUCAAAGAAAGUACAAACUUUGUCGAGAGAAAGGGAUAUGUAAUUGAAUAAAACUCCCAAGAUGAAUUACUGCUAAACUGGUUGUGUGAAUUUUUUUGUCAUUUAUAGAUGAAGAUAGAAAAACAAAGAGAGUGUGUGUAUCUGUAUCUUGAGUUUGUUUGUACAUGGAACUCGUCCCUUGUUCUGUCUAAGGAGGCAGGCAAGGUGAACCUUUCACUGAGCGCGGUUAUGUGUACCUGUCAUAUGUACCUUUUGUUUAUUUGAAAUAAAUCUUGGCGUUUUAUUCAG
rnacentral:misc_RNA from 1 species